AUUGCCUCAGUAACGGCGAGUGAAGCGGCAACAGCUCAAAUUUGAAAUCUGGCUCCCCUUGGGGGUCCGAGUUGUAAUUUGGAGAGGAUGUUUCUGGCGCGGCGCCUUCCGGAGUUCCUUGGAACAGGACGCCACAGAGGGUGAGAGCCCCGUACGGUCGGCCGCCAAACCUUCAAGAAACUCCUUCGACGAGUCGAGUAGUUUGGGAAUGCUGCUCAAAAUGGGAGGUAAAUUUCUUCUAAAGCUAAAUACCGGCCAGAGACCGAUAGCGCACAAGUAGAGUGAUCGAAAGAUGAAAAGCACCUUGAAAAGAGGGUUAAACAGUACGUGAAAUUGUUGAAAGGGAAGCGCCUGCGACCAGACUCGCGCCCCGCGGACCAGCCGGCGUUCUCGCCGGUGCACUCCGCGGGGUGCGGGCCAGCAUCGGUUUUCCCUGGGGGAGAAAGGCCGCGGGAACGUAGCUCCUUCGGGAGUGUUAUAGCCCGUGGCGCCAUGCCCCAGGGGGGACCGAGGACCGCGCUUCGGCAAGGAUGCUGGCGUAAUGGUCGUCGGCGACCCGUCU
rnacentral:rRNA from 1 species